CCGUUUUUUUAGCAGGACCGAGCGUACCUUAAGGAUCAGAUUCAGCAGCAGUGUUACCUUCGGUCCUAUCACUCUCUCAGCUUCAGUUUAUUUAGGUUGAUCAAGAAGAGUGAAUGUGACUGUAUGGAUACAUUGUCGGCCAAGUCACGUCCCAAACUAUCACGUUUUGGAAACCGGGGCGUGACAAAGUUUUUAGCGGUAUCAGAGCCAGGACCGAGCGUACCUUGAGGAUCUGAUUCAGCAGCAGUGUUACUUUCGGUCCUAUCACUCUCUCAGCUUUAGUUUAUUUAGGUAGUUAUUUUUUUAGACUUUUCCCGUAAUCACCUGUGAUUUUCCAGACUACGAUGUAUUUUCCCCAUUCCCAUUUUGGAUAGUUGUGGACUUGUCAUAGAACUUUGUAAUUGCAGAGAUUUCUUUACCUAUCUAUUUUUCUUGUUGUUUUAGUUAUAUGCUCUAUGUAGUAGUUCUUAGUAAUAUAUUUGUGUUCCGGUUGAUCCAGAGGCGUGAAUGUGACUGUAUGGUUACAUUGACGACCAAGUCACGUCCCAAACUAUCAUAUUUUGGAAACCGGGGCGUGACAAUUAUUUUAUCAUAGAGAAUCACAUAUAUUGUAUUCAUGCUCCCAUGUUAUUUACCCGAGAGUGGGUAUAAGAUUGAGGUUGUCAUACAUGAUAUUUCUAUACGAGCUUCAUUUUACCGGAUGAUUAUUCUUGUAAUUGUGCCACCUACCUAAGGGUAGUGUGAGAUAUUUGUACAUGACAUGUAUUGGAUGAGGUUUGGAAAUUGUAUUGCUUUUAUUUAC